ACACUGGCAAUACUGGGUCCUCCUGAUCGGAUUAGACAGAUCACUUUCCACCUUCCUGCGGCUCAUGAAUAUUUUUCUUCAACUUCACUUCAAGCUCUCUUCUGGCCCGCAUUAAAUCGGUGAGAGUUCAGAACAGUUCUCAUCUGUGAGCCAGGUUGGGCUGUCCGCCUUCUCCACUUACUGAAUGCCAUCUAUCUUUAGAGUUGAUGCAAACUCAGCACUCUUUCCGUGAGUACCUUUUAAAACAUCAAAUGCAAGCCUUCCGGGCUGCUUUCAACUCCGGGAAAACAAAAGGGUGAAAAGGAGGAGGAGGAGGAGGGAGAGGAGGCGGAAGAAGAAGAGGACCAGGAAGUCUCGUUAUCAUGCCCUCUGCCCAGUGCUGAAGUGGGCCAGCACUGUGUCCCAUGGACCAGCCGGUGCCUGUGAUCUGCCAGAAUACUGCACGGGAAGUUCACACUACUGCCCCUCUAACGUUUACCUCCUAGACGGGUCAUCAUGUCAGCAUGGUCAUGCCUACUGCUAUAAUGGCAUAUGUCUUACCCAUGAACAUCAAUGCCUGCAGCUGUGGGAUUACGGUAAAAUACAUCCUGCCUGACUGUGCCUUUAGUUUGCAAGGAAACUAUAUUUGCAGCAUUAAGUUCAAGAGUUAUUAUAUUUUCAAGGGAUGAUUCAGUUUAAAUUUUAGAUUGUUGUUAGAUUUGGGUAUGAAAACAUGGAAAUAUAAUCCGUCUACACAACUGUACAAAAAAUUUCUAUUUUAAAUAAAUGCUGUUCUUUUGAUCUUUCCAUUAAGCACAGAAUCCUAAAAAUCUAUUAUUUCAAUUUGGCAUCCUAUUUGCACUCUCAAUUUCAAUUCCGUAAUGAAAAAUCUGUUCUGAAUGGCUCACAAUCAUGUACAAUAUAUUUAGUAUUUUUUAACAUUUUUUAUAUUUUUUUUCUUUCUUUCAAUAUUUGUAUGUCUUCUUAGAAUAAAAUCUAAAUAUCUUUUUUUUUUUUUUUUUGCUAAUAUCACACAGCUCUACAAAUGCCAAAACUAGACAGACCUUGGAAUCCUUAACAAUCAUUUUGGACGUAAUUCAAUAAUCUUUUUUUCUGCACUGGAAAUUCUCCUCCUUAAUCAUAUUGACCCAAAUAUAGAGGCUCCAGUAUGUGUCUUCAUCUGUGCCAUCUGGUACUGAACAAAUAUAAUAACCAGGCUCCUUACUGGGUUCCUUAAGGUCUGACACCUUCUGAGUGGGCCUGAAUCACACAUCAUAAUUAUCAUUAGUCAACUUCUCCUCUUUCAGAGAGACUCUAAUAUGGAAAAUGUGCAGGAUCACGAACCCAUACAAGCAGUCUAAAUGUCACUGUACCUGGUUGUAGUCAAUUAGGGGAAGGGGAGGGCAGGAGGUAAUAAAUGAGUGGGAACCAAAAGGUUAGGUGUAAAAUCUGGGGAUAAUUACAGAGGCGGACCAGUGCAGAGGAAGUGUAAUAAGAUGCAGGGUGGUCUCUAAGAUAAGAUGAUGAAGGUGUAGAAGGAGGUCAUUCUGGGUGGUAAGAUUGUAACGGGUAUUUAUAGGUGAGUUUGUUCCAGUAAAGCUGGACUAAGAUCAAAAUUGCUUUUCCUGUUGUAAGAAUAAAAGUUAGGUUAGAAGUAGUACCAUUGUAAAAGCAGAGUAAACAAAAAGAGUAUAGUUUAAUAUUAAAAGAUUAGUUAACUCUAACAUUACUGUUAAAGUCUUAAACAGUCUUAAAGUUGUUUGGCUUUUAGUAUGAAUAUGUUAGCCUUACUGUUCUCUAUGAGCUAAUGUGCUUCAAAACAAUGACAAAAUUCAUAUUUAGAAGAUUUAAGAAUAUUUAAGAUUUAAGUGUUCAAAACAGUCUCUCACUUCUGCCAAUAUGGAUCAACAAUUAUUUUUAUGACAUCAUGCUGUACUUCUCAUCAGAUUUUCUGUCCAAUCAAAUGCUCUCUAGAAUCUAAAGUGUCCUGCCCCCUACAUUAUAAAUAGACGCUGAAGCUGAGGCUAAAAUCGGUCAGUUGUUCAUUUACUAUUUUCUACAUGGUGAAUGGCACAUAGUGCACUAUAUAGGGGAUAGGGAACGAUUAAGACAGUGUAAUACUUUCCAUUGAGGUGAAUGAAGUUUGGUUUUUACGUUAGUGUCAUGUAAAUCGCCGCAGCGCGCACACAGUCUGCUGCGGUCCAGAAACAUGAUAGCAGAGAGCAGAUCAUAUGUACAAGUCGCUGCAGACCACAACACAUAUUGGACCCAUUUAAAUUUUACACAGAAUGCUAUAUUUUAAAGUGAUAUGUAGGAGAUUAGAAGGAGAAACGGUUAGAGAUUAGAAGGAAACUGAGGCUUUACCAAGUUCAACUGCUCUGGCCGAGCUGUGACAUAAACGAAACACUAUUAGCUGUUUAAAAAAAAGGGGGAGGAUCUGUUCAAAAUGUCCCACCCUAUUUUCCUGUUUCAGUGGAAAUUACGUCAACACAUUGAAUAAUGCUGUACGUUCCAAGGUCCUUCAGGGGGCUUUAAGUCACAAUUUACUCAACCUGGUGUUGUUCUAAUGCUGUAUGGCCUUUUUUUCUUUUUCGGACCACAAGAGGAGAAUUUAAAAUAAAUAAAUAAAAUUCUUGCUUGUGCUCGUCAAUAUAACUGACUUUGGUUCAGUUCAUUGUCCUGUAUUGUUUUUGAGUUUAGGCCAAUGCUGUUACAUUUUGUAUUCUUGCGAUUCCUGUAUUUUGGAUUUUCUUCUUUGCUUUGUUUAUUAAUAAAGUUUAA